AAAAGUUUUGUAAGAAAAAUUAAAGAAAAAACUUUUAAAAAAUUACAUACUAGUGUGUAUAAAUUGGAAGAGAGUGAAUGGCCAAGAAUUUGGACAUGAGGUUUAUCAGCAGCAGCAGAUGGCUUGAUGUCACGGCCAUUGGUUACUUGC